rnacentral:rRNA from 1 species
GAUGAACGCUGGCGGCGUGCCUAAUACAUGCAAGUCGAGCGAACAGACGAGGAGCUUGCUCCUCUGACGUUAGCGGCGGACGGGUGAGUAACACGUGGAUAACCUACCUAUAAGACUGGGAUAACUUCGGGAAACCGGAGCUAAUACCGGAUAAUAUAUUGAACCGCAUGGUUCAAUAGUGAAAGACGGUGUUGCUGUCACGUAUAGAUGGAUCCGCGCCGCAUUAGCUAGUUGGUAAGGUAACGGCUUACCACGGCAACGAUGCGUAGCCGACCUGAGAGGGUGAUAGGCCACACUGGAACUGAGACACGGCCCAGACUCCUACGGGAGGCAGCAGUAGGCAAUCUUCCGCAAUGGGCGAAAGCCUGACGGAGCAACGCCGCGUGAGUGAUGAAGGUCUUCGGAUCGUAAAACUCUGUUAUUAGGGAAGAACAAAUGUGUAAGUAACUAUGCACGUCUUGACGGUACCUAAUCAGAAAGCCACGGCUAACUACGUG